rnacentral:rRNA from 1 species
CACUUGCCCUUAGAGUUUGAUCCUGGCUCAGGAUGAACGCUAGCUACAGGCUUAACACAUGCAAGUCGAGGGGAAACGAUAGAGAAAGCUUGCUUUUUCUAGGCGUCGACCGGCGCACGGGUGAGUAACGCGUAUCCAACCUGCCCACCACUUGGGGAUAACCUUGCGAAAGUAAGACUAAUACCCAAUGAUAUCUCUAGAAGACAUCUGAAAGGGAUUAAAGAUUUAUCGGUGAUGGAUGGGGAUGCGUCUGAUUAGCUUGUUGGCGGGGUAACGGCCCACCAAGGCGACGAUCAGUAGGGGUUCUGAGAGGAAGGUCCCCCACAUUGGAACUGAGACACGGUCCAAACUCCUACGGGAGGCAGCAGUGAGGAAUAUUGGUCAAUGGGCGAGAGCCUGAACCAGCCAAGUAGCGUGCAGGAUGACGGCCCUAUGGGUUGUAAACUGCUUUUAUAAGGGAAUAAAGUGAGUCUCGUGAGACUUUUUGCAUGUACCUUAUGAAUAAGGACCGGCUAAUUCCGUGCCAGCAGCCGCGGUAAUACGGAAGGUCCGGGCGUUAUCCGGAUUUAUUGGGUUUAAAGGGAGCGUAGGCCGGAGAUUAAGCGUGUUGUGAAAUGUAGAUGCUCAACAUCUGCACUGCAGCGCGAACUGGUUUCCUUGAGUACGCACAAAGUGGGCGGAAUUCGUGGUGUAGCGGUGAAAUGCUUAGAUAUCACGAAGAACUCCGAUUGCGAAGGCAGCUCACUGGAGCGCAACUGACGCUGAAGCUCGAAAGUGCGGGUAUCGAACAGGAUUAGAUACCCUGGUAGUCCGCACGGUAAACGAUGGAUGCCCGCUGUUGGUCUGAAUAGGUCAGCGGCCAAGCGAAAGCAUUAAGCAUCCCACCUGGGGAGUACGCCGGCAACGGUGAAACUCAAAUGAAUUGACGG